CAUUUACUUAUAAAAAAUAAUCAUCAUUCUUCCCAGAACGCCGCCCUUGAUCUUCAAGAACUUGUUGCUUGCACUAUGAAUGUAGUAUGGAGGCAUAUCUCUUUUAGCUGACUCCAAAAAUUGUCAGUCUUGCAACCUCUUUGCACCUUAAAGAAUACUAGGAUUCAGUAGUGAAGAAAAGCCUCUUCAAAGCUAUCAUCAAUGUCUGCUAAUGUUAGACAAAAAAGUGCAUUAGAUAUUUAACUUCUGUCAAGGUGGUUUUCCAUUAUCUAAGUCCUCCAUAACAUCGAUAUCCUUGCGUGCUGUAAUCUUCUGCACAUAACCUGUAGUGACAAAGAUUUUGUGUUAAAAAAAAACAGAUUGCUCCACGAUCUCGAGGACAAGCUGAAACUUCUUUACUGAUAUAAAGUGAGUUUUUGGCCAAAUACACCCCUAAUGUAUACCACUUACUGAGACUACAUCUUUAAAGGAUCACUGUAAACAAAGAACAUCCUUCACAUUUUUGGAAAUGAGCAUGUUUCGUUCUGCCAUUACCCAUGGUAAUAAACCUAACAGAACCCUAAAAAGACACAGACAGGGCAGGUGACAUUCGAAAAUAAAAUUACAAGCUUUGCAACUCCAUUCCAGAUACACACUGAUCCUUAACUACAAACAGAAGACUUCAGAGAUGCUUGAAGUUGGAACUAACACUGCUAAACCACUUCGACCAUGCUUUCAACUGAUCCUUAUAACUAUUGAGUUGUAAUUGAGCAUGAUGAAGAUGAGGCUUCAAUAGAAUGAUCUUUCAAAUUGUACUAGAAUGUUACUGUUAAUUAAAAAGUCCGGCCAACUCAUCCAUUUCACAGCUACAGGCUACUGGCCAAGUUGAACAAUUAGGACAUGUUGCAGAAAUGCAACAUAAACACAGUAAUUAAAAAAUAACCAUGACCAUAUUAAAAUCCAUUUCACCAGUAUUAUUCACCAAAAAAGAUUCAGUCACACCAACAAAUUUAGAAGUUCUGUAACAACUUAUUCAACCACAUUCUAUUUUUUAAGAAAAUUAUCUGAAACUCCAGAAAUGCAGAAAGUGGUAAAACAUGCCAGAAAAUACAAAAACCACAAAAAUACUUUUGGAGUAUGUAGAGACCUAAGUCGAUAAGAAAUUAACCCUAAAUAGUUCUUCAUACCAUAUACUCCAAAUCAGCAAUAUUUUCUUUGUUACGAAAAUAGCAACUCUUUUCUCCUAAUUGACUGUGUCCCCAUAAUUUUUCUUUCCAAUCAACAAUGGUGAAGCAGGCUGAUGUUUUAAGAAAAUGUCACGUGUCAUAUACGGGAUUUUGUGGGGGUCCGUUAGUUUUGUAGCAGUAAAGUAAUGGAGGGAUGAAAACAGCUCACUUUAGAAUACAAGGAUGCUUUUUGUUCAUAAGUAUAUUUCAAGGAUGUAAUCCAAGUAGUGCGUAUACAAUAGGGAUGUUUUUGGUCAAAAACUCGAAAGAGUUCUCACUAUGAGAAUCUGUAGUUUCCCUGUCACUCUGAUUGCAAAUUAUAGAAGUCACUGGCCACUUCAGUGUUGCUCUUUCUCAAUUAUUUUCUUUCUGUCAUGUACUCUGUUUUAGUCCAUAAAGAGAACAUCUGAAGAUCUCAAGAGAACUGAGGCUCGUACCUUGUGGGGUAUUUUAUAACUGACAUCCAUCCUUUUACAGAGUUUAAACUCACAAAAACCAUGAGAGAGAAAUUGUAAUGAACCUUUUGUCUUCACUUUCAUCAAAGGGAUAUGAGUUCCAGUCUUCAAGAAAAUACAGAAGUGUCAAUUGUCUUCUUUUCAGUCAGCUAAUUGUAUCCAUUCUUUACUUUCUCGUUUAAGCUGGUACUAAAGCAGAAGAAGCAAAUAAAGGAAAAAAGAAGGUAAAAAUUCUUUAUUUAAUUUUUCUAGUGGUGUUGAAGAAAAUGCACUUGUUCUUGACAAAAUUUAUGUGUACAAAGAGACAAGUAUUGGUCAUGCCCUACAUAAAUCUCCAUGUGCACCGAUGUAUAGGUGCAUGCAGCACUAUAAUGAUUGAAGGUACUAAGCAGGGGCAAGAUAAACCUAAAAUCACAUGAAGCUUUGGUCAUUCUUUUGGUUAGACUUAUAUUAGCUUGUUGUUUGUCAUGAAUCCUUCUAGUGAGGUUACAGUAAGUGUGAUAUCUAGAGAAAGUGAGAAACUACAUUUUACCUUAAAAAUUUAAUACACAAGAAAUUAGCUUAAUUAGUCAUGCAAUUUCAUAACAAUACUAAUUUAUUUUAAGGAUUGCUAAACUUAUACUCUUAUUCCACCAGAAAAUUUAAUGUGAAAAUCCCAUCUAACUGCAUGGGUGAAGGAACUGCAAUUAUUGCAAUACCUUGACUAAUUUGCUGACAUAUUUUUAGUUUUCCUUAAUAGUGCAUCUUUGCUCUCUUUAUUUUUGUACCUUAAAUGCACACCCCCUUAACACUCUGUUUGGAUCAUUGUUACCCAUUGUUUCAUAAUGUAUUAUAUUGUAUUGUAAUCUAUUGUAUUGUACUGUAUGGUAGAUACAAUGUUUGAUUAGACUGUAUUGUUUGUUGUUGUUUAAUAACAUUUUUAUUGUUUGAUUUGACUGUAUCGUAUUGUAUUGUAAUUUAUAUAUUUACUAAAAUAUCCUUAAUUAUUCUAAGGUAGGAGGUUUGACUAGAAUUAAAUAAUAUAGGGUAAAGGGUAAAAUAGUAUUAUGAAAUAUUAUGUAAGGAUAUAAUUGAAAAAAGAAAUUAAGUAACAAUGGGAACACACCAAAUUGGUUGUUCCAUAGAAUGGGGGUUUUCAUUGUUACGUAACAACGAAAUUUAACAAUACAAUACAAUACAUUUUAAGUAACAAUCAAAACAAACAUUGUAGGUAUGGUAACGAUACAAUACAAUACAAUGGGUAACAAUGAUCCAAAUAGAGUGUAAUGCUCAUGUUCUUAUUUUCCUUCUCAAAAUCUACCUUAAAAGUACAACUCCCGCAGUUUUAAUUUGUUUGUCCUACUUUUCUUUUUAGUCCGUUUCAAAAAAUAUGCCUCUUUCCUUUUUGGCAACUCUUUAAUUCUAACUUCCAACAUGGUAUGUUUAAGACCACAAGAUUAAAGGGUAUUUUGGUAUAUUCUACAUAUCUUUAGUAUAAGAUCAUAAGAUUCAAAAGUCUUCUUUACUUUUUCAAACUUCAUGCCGAGUCAAACCCGGACAAACAUAUUGAUAUGGAGAGAGUAAAAAGGAUGAGCCAAAAUCACAACACAUUUCUCAGCUGUCAGCAUAUGUACAACAACUCAACUAAACAUUAUGAGUAUAACAUAUUCAAUAUGAAACCAGAAUAGUAUUAGUAUGAAGGAGGAAUAUGGAAUGAUUUUGUUGCCAUCAAAGGCCUUCUUACUCCUUCAUGAUCACUUGGUCUGUAAGUUCCUUUAAGAACUUCCUACUUUUUCCCUCACCAUGCUAUUCCUAUCUCAAAAAAUUCACUAAACAUCUCUCUCAUCCCACUCCCGAUUUCUGUCUCCUGUUAUCAUUUUCUUAUUGCUUUUCAAGUUACUGAAAUUUAAAACAACUAUUCUUCACUCCCAAAAAAAUGGACACAGAUUGUGUUCUUCCCAAAGGAAAUCCGUUAAGGAAUCUGGAGAAGAUCCAUAUAAUUGGAAAAGGGCCUUUCCCUCAAUGGUCCAGGGUGGAGUCAAACAAAGUGACAUUUAAAUGACUUAAGAAUCAUUCCAGAAACCAACCUCUGGAAGGGCCAUACUCAUAUACUCAACCAGUGGCGGAGCUACAGUGUGUCAAGAGGUCAAGUGAACACUCUUCGCCGAAAAAUUAUAAUGUGUAUGUAGCUCAAAUGUCAUUUUGAACGAAUAGAUAUUUUAGUUUAGAACAGCUCGACACAUUUGAGAUACGGCAAAGCGAUAAAGGGUGUUCAAGAUGGGGAGUGUUUCACGGGUUCGAGUCUGUUUUUCAUCCGUCCCUACCCUUGUCUUCUUCAAACUAAAAAGGCUAAGGGUGUCUUGUUGACAUUUUUUACUCUUUUCUUCAAAUCUAACAUUUUUUCCUCUUUCCUUCUCUCUUAAUUUUUGUUAAAUCUUAACAACAAUAGGAACUAUGGAAAAAUAUUAAGUGAGACCAAUUGGACCGCAGUUAUAUAUUAGUUUUGUGACAAGAAAACUCAAGGCAGAAUAUUUCGUCACAAACAACAUCUAAUUGGGUCUUCCAAAAUUGUCUCAAAGUGUACAAAAUGUCCGGAGAUUGUGAGAGAAGAAAUUAAAAAAUAUGUAGAUGGAAAAAAGGAGUGAAAACGACAUGCUAUAUUUCAAUCGAAUGUGACUAAUCUUGAUGAUGAAGAAGAAAAGAAAGAUAAAGUUGUCGAUUUGUAUAUUGCUUUAAAAUCACAAAAACAAUCACAAAAUGCAACAGUCUCUUCAAGUUACGGAUCAACGGUAGAGAGGGACCUUUAGAUUGUCACUUCCAGCAGAAGCCAGGAGAGGAUGUUGGGAAAAAUGUUAAAAAGA
rnacentral:lncRNA from 1 species